AUGGCAACUGCGACAGACCAUCAGGAAAGUCUGCUGCACAUGGACUCUGAGACCUCGGUGCAAAUGGGUGAUGAGUUGCCGCCCAUGGAUGAAGAUGCAAUGACUACCAAGACUAGACCUAGAAAGGGCAAAGGGCUAGAGAGGAUCACCAAGUCGCUUGGUAGCAAGGUGCCUAUCCAAAUUGCCGAAGGGCUGAAGCGUCCAGAGAAGCCUCUGCAGUCAGCAAAGCUUGCUUCUGAGUGUGGACUCGUUGCAAGAAACCAUCUUCCGGUUCUUCCUCACUUCAAGCUAUACAAAAAUGCUAGUCUAUUGGAGAACUACAUUGGGAAAGUUGCUGCAAAUUUUGAGAUGAACACGGACUCGGAAACCAUCAAGACCGCGUGCAAAGAUAUUCUGCAGAAAAAUUCAAAGAACAGACGCCAUUAG
rnacentral:rRNA from 1 species